AUUGUGCAUAUGAUCGGUGUACAUGAUCUACUGUUCGGAGUGCAGAAGUUUAGAUUCAUUCUGAAUAAUUUAAAAAUACAAAACCUUUUUUUUCUCUCUCAACCAGUAAUCUCAAUGCAUCAAAACCUCAUGGAAUAACAAAGAUGUGAACUCUAUAAAUAAAAUAUCUAAAAAAUAAACAGUAGAAUUAAACCUAAUGAUGACUCAUAAUUGAACUGGGAAAAAGCAGAGGAACCCAUGUAAGAACUUGAUGUUUUGUCCUGCUGCAUGUGAUCAGCAUAAUGCAGAAUUCUCCAUCAGACAUGAUCAUAAAGCUUCAAACAUCAACAGCAGUAGAAGUAAUUUUCCUCGCCACGUGGCAGAGCGAGAGCGGUAGGAUGAAGGGAAGAAGGGUGAUCCAUGGUUGCCAUGAUAUGAUCAUAAAAUCUCCUGCUAACUACUAACAACUUUAGUAUUGAGAGUAAAUGCAGAUAGGGGGUUAGGUGAGUGCUACGAGACUCAUCAGUAAUAAAAACCUGUUGAUUCUGCCAUUAAUUUUCUGGAUGGUCUGCCAAAAUUUUGUUGCUUUUCUCGGGAAAAUUUCCUUGUUUGGUUGGAGAGAAAACAGUACCUUUGGUUGGCUGGCUGCCCAAUUGAUGCAACUCUGACUUUCUGUUGGAUGCAUUUGUUUCAGCACUUAAAUGAAUCCACGUUAGCCAGCCAGGCUCUGGUUUUCAGUUUUCAAACAUGAAGAAGCUCAUCAAAUAUUAAUUUUAUAAAA
rnacentral:lncRNA from 1 species